rnacentral:rRNA from 1 species
UACAGAGGGUGCGAGCGUUGUUCGGAAUUACUGGGCGUAAAGCGCGCGCAGGCGGCUCUUUAAGUCUACCCGUGAAAUGCCGGAGCUCAACUCCGUGCACGCCGGGGGAUACUGGAGAGCUGGAGACGAGUAGAGGCAAGCGGAAUUCCGGGUGUAGCGGUGGAAUGCGUAGAGAUCGGGAAGAACAUCGGUGGCGAAGGCGGCCAGCUGGGCCAUUGCUGACGCUGAGGCGCGACAGCGUGGGGAGCAAACAGG